AGUUGGGCCGUGAUGGGGGCAGGACAACAACCAGAAAAUGCUGGAAUGUGGCCAGAGCUGAGGCAGUGCUCACCCCACACGCAUUCAUUAAAUGCCUACUGUGUGCAGAGUGAGGUGGUGAAUACAAAGGAACUCAGGACCCGGAUGGAGGAUGAGGAGAGGCACCUCCCGGAGGCGCAGGUGGAUCUGACCCGCGUCAAGUUUCGUGGUGUACUUCCUGUUUUCAAGUUGUUGUUGUUGUUUCAGUGACUUAUCAAAAAAACAAAACUCUAAUACAAAACAGGAAAAAGUAUAGAUGAUACAAAGUAGCACAAAUAGUCCUUUAUCCUGAAAGAACUUAGUGAUUUACUGAGAAAAAAUAUGCAUGUUAAAUUUCAAAUAAUGAUACAA